rnacentral:rRNA from 1 species
UCGUCACACUAUCAUUAACUGAAUCCAUAGGUUAAUGAGGCGAACCGGGGGAACUGAAACAUCUAAGUACCCCGAGGAAAAGAAAUCAACCGAGAUUCCCCCAGUAGCGGCGAGCGAACGGGGAGGAGCCCAGAGCCUGAAUCAGCAUGUGUGUUAGUGGAAGCGUCUGGAAAGGCGCGCGAUACAGGGUGACAGCCCCGUACACAAAAGCGCAUGUGCUGUGAGCUCGAUGAGUAGGGCGGGACACGUGGUAUCCUGUCUGAAUAUGGGGGGACCAUCCUCCAAGGCUAAAUACUCCUGACUGACCGAUAGUGAACCAGUACCGUGAGGGAAAGGCGAAAAGAACCCCGGCGAGGGGAGUGAAAAAGAACCUGAAACCGUGUACGUACAAGCAGUGGGAGCACAGGUUUACCUGUGUGACUGCGUACCUUUUGUAUAAUGGGUCAGCGACUUAUAUUCUGUAGCAAGGUUAACCGAAUAGGGGAGCCGGAGGGAAACCGAGUCUUAAUUGGGCGUUAAGUUGCAGGGUAUAGACCCGAAACCCGGUGAUCUAGCCAUGGGCAGGUUGAAGGUUGGGUAACACUAACUGGAGGACCGAACCGACUAAUGUUGAAAAAUUAGCGGAUGACCUGUGGCUGGGGGUGAAAGGCCAAUCAAACCGGGAGAUAGCUGGUUCUCCCCGAAAGCUAUUUAGGUAGCGCCUCGUGAAUUCAUCUCCGGGGGUAGAGCACUGUUUCGGCUAGGGGGCCAUCCCGGCUUACCAACCCGAUGCAAACUGCGAAUACCGGAGAAUGUUAUCACGGGAGACACACGGCGGGUGCUAACGUCCGUCGUGAAGAGGGAAACAACCCAGACCGCCAGCUAAGGUCCCAAAGUCAUGGUUAAGUGGGAAACGAUGUGGGAAGGCCCAGACAGCCAGGAUGUUGGCUUAGAAGCAGCCAUCAUUUAAAGAAAGCGUAAUAGCUCACUGGUCGAGUCGGCCUGCGCGGAAGAUGUAACGGGGCUAAACCAUGCACCGAAGCUGCGGCAGCGACACUGUGUGUUGUUGGGUAGGGGAGCGUUCUGUAAGCCUGUGAAGGUGUGU